CUAUGCGCCUUGCCAGCCCGCUCAGGUGUGCCAGCAGCCGCGGUAAUACGGAGGAUGCGAGCGUUAUCCGGAUUUAUUGGGUUUAAAGGGUGCGUAGGCGGGAUGCCAAGUCAGCGGUAAAAAUGCGGUGCUCAACGCCGUCGAGCCGUUGAAACUGGCGUUCUUGAGUGGGCGAGAAGUAUGCGGAAUGCGUGGUGUAGCGGUGAAAUGCAUAGAUAUCACGCAGAACUCCGAUUGCGAAGGCAGCAUACCGGCGCCCUACUGACGCUGAGCACGAAAGCGUGGUAUCGAACAGG
rnacentral:rRNA from 1 species